rnacentral:rRNA from 1 species
UACGUAGGGUGCAAGCGUUGUCCGGAAUUAUUGGGCGUAAAGAGCUCGUAGGCGGUUUGUCGCGUCUGCUGUGAAAACUCGGGGCUUAACCCCGGGCCUGCAGUGGGUACGGGCAGACUAGAGUGCGGUAGGGGAGACUGGAAUUCCUGGUGUAGCGGUGAAAUGCGCAGAUAUCAGGAGGAACACCGGUGGCGAAGGCGGGUCUCUGGGCCGACACUGACGCUGAGGAGCGAAAGCGUGGGGAGCGAACAGG